rnacentral:rRNA from 1 species
CAUGUAGGCGGUCUGCUAAGUUCGGAGUGACAGUCACCAGCUUAACUGGUGAAGUGCUUUGAAAACUGGCUGACUUGAGAGCGAGAGAGGGACACGGAAUUCCGGGUGGAGCAGUGAAAUGCGUAGAGAUCCGGAGGAACACCGAAGGCGAAGGCAGUGUCCUGGCUCGUUUCUGACGCUGAGGUGCGAAAGCCAGGGGAGCGAACGGGAUUAGAUACCCCGGUAGUCCUGGCCGUAAACGGUGACCACCAGGCGUGGGAGGGAUCGACCCCUCCUGUGCCGUAGUCAACACAUUAAGUGGUCCGCCUGGGGAGUACGGUCGCAAGACUAAA